UUACGGCCAUAUCAGGUUGAAAAACUGGUUCUCGUACGAUCACCCAAGUUAAGCAACGCCGAGCUUGGUCAGUACCUAGAUGGGUGACCUCUUGGAAAUUCCAGGUGCAGUAA